GACGAACGCUGGCGGCGUUCUUAAUACAUGCAAGUCGAACGCAGUGGGGACGGUUGAGUAACACGUGGGUAACCUCCCAUCAGAGUGGAAAACACUUGGAAACAGGUGCUAAACUGAUACAGAUGGCAGAACCCGCGGUGCAUUAGCUAGUUGGUGAGGGAACGGCUCACCAAGGCCACGAUGCAUAGCCGACCUGAGAGGGUGAUCGGAAACACUGGGACUGAGACACGGCCCAGACUCCUACGGGAGGCAGCAGUAGGGAAUCUUCGGCAAUGGACGAAAGUCUGACCGAGCAACGCCGCGUGUGUGAAGAAGGUUUUCGGAUCGUAAAACUCUGUUGUUGGAGAAGCGGUAUCUAACCAGAAAGCAACGGCUAACUACUUGCCAGCAGCCGCGGUAAUUC
rnacentral:rRNA from 1 species